AUAAAGUUUUAUUCUGAUUUGAUUAAUUAUUGAUAAUUUUUCUUUAUAUGUAAAUUUUAAUAAAAUAAAAAUUUAAAUAAUUUUUAUAUUUAAAAGAUUGCAGUAUUUAAUUUUAUAGAUUAAUAAAAGUUAGAUUUAGAAAUUUUAAUAAGCAUUAACUAAAUUUGUGCCAGCAGUUGCGGUUAUACAUUUAAUGCAAUUAAUUAUUUUUAGUAUAUAAUAAAAUAGUAAAUAAAAUAUUUAAUAAAAUUUAUUAAGUGAAAUUUUAAGUUUUAAAAAUUUUAAUAUUGGAUUUUGAGGUUAUUAAAUUUUUAAUUAAACUAGGAUUAGAUACCCUAUUAUUAAAAACGUAAAUUUUAAACUAAAUUAUUAUAAGAUAUGAUCUUUAAAAUUAAAGAAUUUGGCGGUAUUUUAGUCUAUUUAGAGGAACCUGUUCUGUAAUCGAUAAUCCACGAUUUAAAUUACUUAUUUUAUUAGCUUGUAUAUCGUCGUUAGUAAAAUAUUUUAUAAGAAUAAAUAUUUUAAAUUCUUAAUAAAGUAGAAAAUCAGAUCAAGGUGCAGUUUAUAGAUAAGAAGAAAUGGGUUACAUUAAAUUUAUUUAAAUGGUAUAAUUAAAUGAAAAUUUUUAUUAAAGUGGAUUUAAAAGUAAUAAAAUUAAUUUAAAUUUUAUGAUUUUAGCUCUAAAAUAUGCACAUAUCGCCCGUCACUCUCGUUUAAAAUGAGAUAAGUCGUAACAAAGUAGAUGUACUGGAAAGUGUAUCUAGAAUGAU
rnacentral:ncRNA from 1 species